UACGAAGGGGGCUAGCGUUGCCCGGAAUCACUGGGCGUAAAGGGCGCGUAGGCGGCCAUUCAAGUCAGGGGUGAAAGCCCAAGGCUCAACCUUGGAAUUGCCUUUGAUACUGUUUGGCUUGAGACCGGAAGAGGUCGGCGGAACUGCGAGUGUAGAGGUGAAAUUCGUAGAUAUUCGCAAGAACACCAGUGGCGAAGGCGGCUUACUGGUCCGGUUCUGACGCUGAGGCGCGAAAGCGUGGGGAGCAAACAGG
rnacentral:rRNA from 1 species